AGCAGAAACCCUGUAAAGAGAAAGUGGUGUCUCUACAACACCACAGUCAGAGAGUCGUCGUCUCACCAGUCUGAUCUGUCACUGCAGUCAGAGAGUCGUCGUCUCACCGAGAGUCGUCGUCUCACCAGUCUGAUCUGUCACUGCAGUCAGAGAGUCGUCGUCUCACCAGUCUGAUCUGUCACUGCAGUCAGAGAGUCGUCGUCUCACCGAGAGUCGUCGUCUCACCAGUCUGAUCUGUCACUGCAGUCAGAGAGUCGUCGUCUCACCAGUCUGAUCUGUCACCGCAGUCAGAGAGUCGUCUCACCAGUCUGAUCUGUCACCGCAGUCAGAGAGUCGUCUCACCAGUCUGAUCUGUCACCGCAGUCAGAGAGUCGUCUCACCAGUCUGAUCUGUCACCACAGUCAGAGAGUCGUCUCACCAGUCUGAUCUGUCACCACAGCCAGAGUCGUCGUCUCACCAGUCUGAUCUGUCACCGCAGUCAGAGAGUCGUCUCACCAGUCUGAUCUGUCACCGCAGUCAGAGAGUCGUCUCACCAGUCUGAUCUGUCACCACAGCCAGAGAGUCGUCUCACCAGUCUGAUCUGUCACCGCAGUCAGAGAGUCGUCUCACCAGUCUGAUCUGUCACCGCAGUCGGAGAGUUGUCUCACCAGUCUGAUCUGUCACCGCAGUCAGAGAGUCGUCUCACCAGUCUGAUCUGACACCGCAGUCAGAGAGUCGUCGUCUCACCAGUCUGAUCUGACACCGCAGUCAGAGAGUCGUCUCACCAGUCUGAUCUGACACCGCAGUCAGAGAGUCGUCGUCUCACCAGUCUGAUCUGACACCGCAGUCGGAGAGUCGUCUCACCAGUCUGAUCUGUCACCGCAGUCAGAGAGUCGUCUCACCAGUCUGAUCUGUCACCGCAGUCGGAGAAGAGUCGUCGUCUCACCAGUCUGAUCUGACACCGCAGUCGGAGAGUCGUCUCACCAGUCUGAUCUGUCACCGCAGUCAGAGAGUCGUCUCACCAGUCUGAUCUGUCACCACAGCCAGAGAGUCGUCUCACCAGUCUGAUCUGACACCGCAGUCAGAGAGUCGUCGUCUCACCAGUCUGAUCUGUCACCGCAGUCAGAGAGUCGUCUCACCAGUCUGAUCUGUCACCGCAGUCAGAGAGUCGUCGUCUCACCAGUCUGAUCUGUCACCGCAGUCGGAGAGUCGUCUCACCAGUCUGAUCUGACACCGCAGUCGGAGAGUCGUCUCACCAGUCUGAUCUGUCACCGCUGCAUGUGCUUCUAUAGACAGGGUUGUUGACAUCAAGCUUUAGAGCGCAGGUCAAGGGGUCAGAAAACAAACAUCCCAGCUUAAUGAACAGGUACAGCCAUAAUCAAGGCACAAAGAUCUACAAGUAUAUUUGUUUUUCAUUCAAUAAAGUAGUUGUACAAAAUAAUAUUACAUUUGACAGUCUGUACAGGAUAAAUCAAGAAGCC
rnacentral:lncRNA from 1 species